UACAGAGGUCUCAAGCGUUGUUCGGAUUCAUUGGGCGUAAAGGGUGCGUAGGCGGCGCGGUAAGUCGGAUGUGAAAUCUCGGAGCUUAACUCCGAAACUGCAUUCGAUACUGCCGUGCUUGAGGACUGGAGAGGAGACUGGAAUUCCUGGUGUAGCGGUGGAAUGCGCAGAUAUCAGGAGGAACACCGAUGGCGAAGGCAGCUCGCUGGGACGGUACUGACGCUGAGGCGCGAAAGCGUGGGGAGCGAACAGG
rnacentral:rRNA from 1 species